GGUUAAGCGACUAAGCGUACACGGUGGAUGCCCUGGCAGUCAGAGGCGAUGAAGGACGUGCUAAUCUGCGAAAAGCGUCGGUAAGGUGAUAUGAACCGUUAUAGCCGGCGAUGUCCGAAUGGGGAAACCCAGUGCAAUUCGUUGCACUAUCGUUAACUGAAUACAUAGGUUAACGAGGCGAACCGGGGGAACUGAAACAUCUAAGUACCCCGAGGAAAAGAAAUCAACCGAGAUUCCCCCAGUAGCGGCGAGCGAACGGGGAGCAGCCCAGAGUCUGAAUCAGCUUGUGUGUUAGUGGAACGGUCUGGAAAGUCCGACGGUACAGGGUGAUAGUCCCGUACACCAAAAUGCACAGGCUGUGAACUCGAAGAGUAGGGCGGGACACGUGGUAUCCUGUCUGAAUAUGGGGGACCAUCCUCCAAGGCUAAAUACUCCUGACUGACCGAUAGUGAACCAGUACCGUGAGGGAAAGGCGAAAAGAACCCCGGCGAGGGGAGUGAAAAAGAACCUGAAACCGUGUACGUACAAGCAGUGGGAGCACCUUCGGGUGUGACUGCGUACCUUUUGUAUAAUGGGUCAGCGACUUAUAUUCUGUAGCAAGGUUAACCGUAUAGGGGAGCCGCAGGGAAACCGAGUCUUAACUGGGCGUUAAGUUGCAGGGUAUAGACCCGAAACCCGGUGAUCUAGCCAUGGGCAGGUUGAAGGUUGGGUAACACUAACUGGAGGACCGAACCGACUAAUGUUGAAAAAUUAGCGGAUGACUUGUGGCUGGGGGUGAAAGGCCAAUCAAACCGGGAGAUAGCUGGUUCUCCCCGAAAGCUAUUUAGGUAGCGCCUCGUGAACUCAUCUUCGGGGGUAGAGCACUGUUUCGGCUAGGGGGUCAUCCCGACUUACCAACCCGAUGCAAACUACGAAUACCGAAGAAUGUUAUCACGGGAGACACACGGCGGGUGCUAACGUCCGUCGUGAAGAGGGAAACAACCCAGACCGCCAGCUAAGGUCCCAAAGUCAUGGUUAAGUGGGAAACGAUGUGGGAAGGCACAGACAGCCAGGAUGUUGGCUUAGAAGCAGCCAUCAUUUAAAGAAAGCGUAAUAGCUCACUGGUCGAGUCGGCCUGCGCGGAAGAUGUAACGGGGCUAAACCAUGCACCGAAGCUGCGGCAGCGACACUAUGUGUUGUUGGGUAGGGGAGCGUUCUGUAAGCCUGCGAAGGUGACCUGUGAGGGUUGCUGGAGGUAUCAGAAGUGCGAAUGCUGACAUAAGUAACGAUAAAGCGGGUGAAAAGCCCGCUCGCCGGAAGACCAAGGGUUCCUGUCCAACGUUAAUCGGGGCAGGGUGAGUCGACCCCUAAGGCGAGGCCGAAAGGCGUAGUCGAUGGGAAACAGGUUAAUAUUCCUGUACUUGGUGUUACUGCGAAGGGGGGACGGAGAAGGCUAUGUUAGCCGGGCGACGGUUGUCCCGGUUUAAGCAUGUAGGCUGGUUAUCCAGGCAAAUCCGGAUAAUCAAGGCUGAGGUGUGAUGACGAGGCACUACGGUGCUGAAGUAACAAAUGCCCUGCUUCCAGGAAAAGCCUCUAAGCAUCAGGUAACAUCAAAUCGUACCCCAAACCGACACAGGUGGUCAGGUAGAGAAUACCAAGGCGCUUGAGAGAACUCGGGUGAAGGAACUAGGCAAAAUGGUGCCGUAACUUCGGGAGAAGGCACGCUGGUGUGUAGGUGAAGUCCCUGCGGAUGGAGCUGAGACCAGUCGAAGAUACCAGCUGGCUGCAACUGUUUAUUAAAAACACAGCACUGUGCAAACACGAAAGUGGACGUAUACGGUGUGACGCCUGCCCGGUGCCGGAAGGUUAAUUGAUGGGGUUAUCCGUAAGGAGAAGCUCUUGAUCGAAGCCCCGGUAAACGGCGGCCGUAACUAUAACGGUCCUAAGGUAGCGAAAUUCCUUGUCGGGUAAGUUCCGACCUGCACGAAUGGCGUAAUGAUGGCCAGGCUGUCUCCACCCGAGACUCAGUGAAAUUGAACUCGCUGUGAAGAUGCAGUGUACCCGCGGCAAGACGGAAAGACCCCGUGAACCUUUACUAUAGCUUGACACUGAACAUUGAGCCUUGAUGUGUAGGAUAGGUGGGAGGCUUUGAAGCGUGGACGCCAGUCUGCGUGGAGCCAACCUUGAAAUACCACCCUUUAAUGUUUGAUGUUCUAACGUUGGCCCCUGACCGGGGUUGCGGACAGUGUCUGGUGGGUAGUUUGACUGGGGCGGUCUCCUCCCAAAGCGUAACGGAGGAGCACGAAGGUUAGCUAAUCCUGGUCGGACAUCAGGAGGUUAGUGCAAUGGCAUAAGCUAGCUUGACUGCGAGCGUGACGGCGCGAGCAGGUGCGAAAGCAGGUCAUAGUGAUCCGGUGGUUCUGAAUGGAAGGGCCAUCGCUCAACGGAUAAAAGGUACUCCGGGGAUAACAGGCUGAUACCGCCCAAGAGUUCAUAUCGACGGCGGUGUUUGGCACCUCGAUGUCGGCUCAUCACAUCCUGGGGCUGAAGUAGGUCCCAAGGGUAUGGCUGUUCGCCAUUUAAAGUGGUACGCGAGCUGGGUUUAGAACGUCGUGAGACAGUUCGGUCCCUAUCUGCCGUGGGCGCUGGAGAAUUGAGGGGGCUGCUCCUAGUACGAGAGGACCGGAGUGGACGCAUCACUGGUGUUCGGGUUGUCAUGCCAAUGGCACUGCCCGGUAGCUAAAUGCGGAAGAGAUAAGUGCUGAAAGCAUCUAAGCACGAAACUUGCCCCGAGAUGAGUUCUCCCUGAGACUUUAAGUCUCCUGAAGGAACGUUAAAGACGAUGACGUUGAUAGGCCGGGUGUGUAAGCGCAGCGAUGCGUUGAGCUAACCGGUACUAAUGAACCGUGAGGCUUAACCUU
rnacentral:rRNA from 1 species